AACGAACGCUGGCGGCAGGCCUAACACAUGCAAGUCGAGCGAGGACUUCGGUUCUAGCGGCGGACGGGUGAGUAACGCGUGGGAAUGUGCCCUUCUCUACGGAAUAGCCCUGGGAAACUGGGAGUAAUACCGUAUACGCCCUUUUGGGGAAAGAUUUAUCGGAGAAGGAUCAGCCCGCGUUGGAUUAGGUAGUUGGUGGGGUAAUGGCCUACCAAGCCGACGAUCCAUAGCUGGUUUGAGAGGAUGAUCAGCCACACUGGGACUGAGACACGGCCCAGACCCCUCCGGGAGGCAGCGGGGGGGAACUUUAGAAAAGGGGGGAAACCUGUAUCUACCCUGCCCGCGUGAGGAAAGAGGCCUUUGGGGUUGAAAAGCUCUUCCGGCGGGAAAGAAAAGAGGGGUCCCAGAAAAAGACACCCGCCCUAACCCCGUC
rnacentral:rRNA from 1 species